CUAAAUCCUUAAAUCCGGAAAGAUGUGAGAACAUCAUCGUCUUCAAUUCUUGUCCAACAUCUUGUAAAAGAAAUAUCAGACGAUCAUUGCGUGAAAGGACGAUCUCAAGGAAUGGACUGCUACAUGUUAUAGAAACUCACAUAAAUUGACUGGCAAGAGACACAAGGUCUGCACUCUUUGAUUCCUAUAGGGAUGGACUGACUGGUAGAUGCACUCUAAGUCUAAGUUAUCAGGAUAACCCACUCUAAGGUAGGUCUAUCUACAACACAAGGUCUGCACUCUUUGAUUCCUAUAGGGAUGGACUGACUGGUAGAUGCACUCUAAGUCUAAGUUAUCAGGAUAACCCACUCUAAGGUAGGUCUAUCUACAACACAAGGUCUGCACUCUUUGAUUCCUAUAGGGAUGGACUGACUGGUAGAUGCACUCUAAGUCUAAGUUAUCAGGAUAACCCACUCUAAGGUAGGUCUAUCUACAACACAAGGUCUGCACUCUUUGAUUCCUAUAGGGAUGGACUGACUGGUAGAUGCACUCUAAGUCUAAGUUAUCAGGAUAACCCACUCUAAGGUAGGUCUAUCUACAACACAAGGUCUGCACUCUUUGAUUCCUAUAGGGAUGGACUGACUGGUAGAUGCACUCUAAGUCUAAGUUAUCAGGAUAACCCACUCUAAGGUAGGUCUAUCUACAACACAAGGUCUGCACUCUUUGAUUCCUAUAGGGAUGGACUGACUGGUAGAUGCACUCUAAGUCUAAGUUAUCAGGAUAACCCACUCUAAGUGAACCUGAUGAGCAACUAGGAGAAAGCAACUUUACCACUAAUUGAUGUCAAACGACUGUAGGCUCUGUAUGAUGUCAUCAGGGACUUUCCUGAUGUGACAUCAUUCUUCAAUAUCAAUCUGAGCAGUUUAGCGUGUGAUGCCAGGAGAUGAAUUAGAUGUGGAUGGAACAAUUCUUGCCUAUUGAUGAUUGUCUGCAACUGCCUCUUCUAGUCAACACUAAAGCUUCAAGGCAAUGGGGUCUAGUCCAUGUACUAGAAUGGUAUCAAAUAGCAAAUCCAUGUCAAUCAUGAGUUACUCACCUGUCAAACUUGUGAAUAACAAUUCUCUCUCCAUUAAACACCAAUUGAUGAAGACUGUUUGAGCUUUAUGAAUUACUCACCAGUCAAACUUGUGAAUAACAAUUCUCUCUCCAUUAAAAACCAGUAGUUGAAGACUGUUUGAGAUAUAUGAGUUAUUCACCACUCAAACAUGGAAACAACAAGGCUUGGAAUCAAGGCUCAUGGAUUAUUUCCAUCCUAUAUCAUGUGAUGUCAACACUUUAAAAUCAAGGAAUAUUUGAAGGCACAACUCUUAGCAUCUCCCAUAUACUUCAUUAGAUUCUCAUUGACAUGGAUUUGCUUGACAUUGGUUUCAAUUGAACAAAUAAAAUAUCACAUAAAUAAAAUACAAAAAUCGAAUUCGUGCCAGGCACAUGGUAGGAAAGGCCUUUUGUUUAACCCAGAUACACUGUAAGUAACAGGAAGUCAAAAGGCGAUCAUCUUUCUUUGAACGUUAACUGAAAGUUUGACGUUAUCAUCUUACAAAAAAAGUGGAAUGAAGCAGCCUCUAGUGACAAAUGCUACAAUUUUGUAAUUUCUGUUCUGGCCAAACAGAAAUUACAUACAAAUGGUUAUCCAAGCAGGUAAAAGGGGAUCUUAGCAAUAAGUUCUCUUCGGUUUGGUUUAAAUGUGAACAAGAACCUUUUGGGGAUAACUUUUCUCCAUGUGCCUGGUGUUAAAGCCAAAGCGCAGCAUCCUUUAAAACAAACAGACAUUAUAAGUCCCUCUAUUAAAGCAGUAGUUGAUAAGAAUGUCUUGAAGAAACACACAGUAGUGUGAAGAUCUGCAUGUUUGAACUUUGAGGGUAGUAAUAACCCUUUAAUACUAUCAAACCAGAAUGAAAGAUGGAAAGUAUCAUUACUGUCUUAUUAUUCCAAUCAAAUGUUUGGAAUGAACUUGUCCUCCUAUCAAAGCAGGUGCGUUUAGUGAUGAAAUACACCUCAGAAACACUUUCUCUAUACAAGCUGAAUGCAGAUUGUCUGACAGAGUCAGUUCUCUCAUUCGGUUCUCAAUUAUUGGCAUCGUGUACCCCCCCCCCCUCCAAUUGUGACUUAAUUUUGUUUUUAGUAAACUCAGGAAUUGAGUAAGGAUGUUGCACUUUGGCUUGUUGUAAAUUGUGUUACAAAUUAUAUUGAUGCUUUAAUUAUCAUUAAGUGAAUAUUAGUUUACCUGAUUGUGUAUUGCUUAGAACUGGAUUGAAUUGUAUGUUGAAAUAUUCUUAUUUAACAAAGAUAUGUACACUGGCACAUCGUAUUUAGUUUGUAUGUUCUAAUUGUAUAUUUUCUGGUGAAUUUUUGAGUAUGUUCAGAUACAGUCUGGUAUAACAACAAUUCAAUAUUACAGCAGUGAAGAAAUCCAAAGUACUGAGCAUAAACUGCUAGAUAGCAAAGCAUUGUGCAUAAAACCAACAGUGUAUGUAACAGUUGUUUAAAAGCAGAGUACAUCAGUUUGUGGAUGCAUCCGAUGCAAAGCAUUGCAUUGCAUCACUGUAUUGCAUUGCAUCACUGUACUACAGGACUGAACCACCCCGAGCCAGAACCAAACCUUAAGCACUAAUAUGUGCUUAGCAAAUUGCUUACGAGCAGUUAUCAAAAAGCACUGAUGUGUGCUUAGCUAAAUGCUUACGGGCAGCUAUCACAAAGCACUGAUAUGUGCUUAGCUAAUUGCUUACAGGCAGCUAUCACAAAGCACUGAUAUGUGCUUAGCUAAUU